AAAUUGAAGAGUUUGAUCAUGGCUCAGAUUGAACGCUGGCGGCAGGCCUAACACAUGCAAGUCGAACGGUAACAGGAAACAGCUUGCUGUUUCGCUGACGAGUGGCGGACGGGUGAGUAAUGUCUGGGAAACUGCCUGAUGGAGGGGGAUAACUACUGGAAACGGUAGCUAAUACCGCAUAACGUCGCAAGACCAAAGAGGGGGACCUUCGGGCCUCUUGCCAUCGGAUGUGCCCAGAUGGGAUUAGCUUGUUGGUGGGGUAACGGCUCACCAAGGCGACGAUCCCUAGCUGGU
rnacentral:rRNA from 1 species